rnacentral:rRNA from 1 species
UGGGGAAUAUUGGACAAUGGGCGAAAGCCUGAUCCAGCCAUGCCGCGUGUGUGAAGAAGGUCUUCGGAUUGUAAAGCACUUUAAGUUGGGAGGAAGGGUUGUAGAUUAAUACUCUGCAAUUUUGACGUUACCGACAGAAUAAGCACCGGCUAACUCUGUGCCAGCAGCCGCGGUAAUACAGAGGGUGCAAGCGUUAAUCGGAAUUACUGGGCGUAAAGCGCGCGUAGGUGGUUUGUUAAGUUGGAUGUGAAAUCCCCGGGCUCAACCUGGGAACUGCAUCCAAAACUGGCAAGCUAGAGUAUGGUAGAGGGUGGUGGAAUUUCCUGUGUAGCGGUGAAAUGCGUAGAUAUAGGAAGGAACACCAGUGGCGAAGGCGACCACCUGGACUGAUACUGACGCUGAGGUGCGAAAGCGUGGGGAGCAAACAGGAUUAGAUACCCCCGUAGUCCCUGAGCGGGCUGGCAAGGCGCAU